rnacentral:tRNA from 1 species
UGUAGCUCAGUGGUAAAGUGCUCGUCUUACAUGUGUGAGGCACUGAGUUCGAUCCUCAGCA